CAGCAGUAGCCACGGGAAUACGUAGGUGGCAAGCGUUGUCCGGAAUUAUUGGGCGUAAAGGGCUCGCAGGCGGUUUCUUAAGUCUGAUGUGAGAGCCCCCGGCUCAACCGGGGAGGGUCAUUGGAAACUGGGAAACUUGAGUGCAGAAGAGGAGAGUGGAAUUCCACGUGUAGCGGUGAAAUGCGUAGAGAUGUGGAGGAACACCAGUGGCGAAGGCGACUCUCUGGUCUGUAACUGACGCUGAGGAGCGAAAGCGUGGGGAGCGAACAGGAUUAGAUACCCGCGUAGUCCCUGUCUCUUAUAC
rnacentral:rRNA from 1 species